GAACGAGAAAGUGGAGCAAUCCAUGAGUACAGUGGCGUACGGGUGAGUAACACGUGACUAACCUACCCUCGAGUGGGGAAUAACCUCGGGAAACCGGGGCUAAUACCGCAUAACAUCUACGGAUCAAAUGCGUAAGCAGCUUGAGGAGGGGGUCGCGGCUGAUUAGCUAGUUGGCGGGGUAAUGGCCCACCAAGGCAGUGAUCAGUAGCCGGCCUGAGAGGGCGCACGGCCACACUGGAACUGAAACACGGUCCAGACUCCUACGGGAGGCAGCAGUGGGGAAUUUUGCGCAAUGGGGGAAACCCUGACGCAGCAACGCCGCGUGGAGGAUGAAGUCCCUUGGGACGUAAACUCCUUUCGACCAAGACGAUAAUGACGGUACUGGUGGAAGAAGCACCGGCUAACUCUGUG
rnacentral:rRNA from 1 species